AUCCCUAAAUCCUGGUGCACACAGCUUGAGAACCAAAAAGACUCCAAAAGCUGGAAUUGCUUCAAAAGGUGCUUCGACUAAGUCCCAAACACAGGGUUUCAAUACUUAGGCUGACAUGAUAUUUCACUUCUUGUUUCUUCAUUUUUUUGAAAAAAAAUUGCCCCAAAUUCUAAAAUCUUGUUUUAUGUUUUGUCCUUCUGAUGUACUGAGUAUUGCUUGAUGUUGGGGAAAAAAAUUAUGUUAACACAAGGCUACGACAAAAACAAGAUUUGAAAAAUAAAGUGGAGGGGCUCUGAAUCCUUUGUGAAUCUGCCAUAUGCAUUUUAGCAAAUAAGCAGAAAGUUGUGUAACAAGUUUUGAAGCCAUUAAUUAAUAACAGCCGUCGCUCGGUUUGCAGACAUCGCUCGCGUCGCGCAGAGCUUACCAUCACUGCAGAUAGUUUUAUUUUACGCCCACGUGUGUUUAUGCGGAGAAUGCUUCACAUAAUUGCAGCACUUGUGGUUUUGUUUUUUCCCCCCUACUUGUUGACAUUGGCGAAAGAGCACAUACGCCUUUCAUUAGGAUGACUGUUUGUGUUGUCUGCAGCAUCGGAGUAAACCAACACGAGUACAGAAGGAAGUGUCCCACCGAGGUGCAGCAUUCCAUGAUGUUUCAGUGUACCCGAAGAAGGAGCUUCCCUUCUUCAUCCUCUUCACGGCUGGCCUGUCCUCUUUCACAGCAAUGCUGGCUCUUCUGACACAUCAGUUCCCAGAGCUAAUGGGUGUAUUUGUUAAAGCGUUCUUCAACACUCUCUUUGCACCCGUCCACUUUUUUGCGGAAAAGAUUGAAGGAUUUUUGCCAUCUGGUUUCUUGCCUCAGUUGACCAGAAUCUAAGCUCCUGCCCAGCUUCCCUCCCGUCACACUGUGGACCGAUGGAGUUGCCACAACACAAGGUCUUGUUCUGCAGGGAGGCUUCCCGCACACCGGCUGGAGUGCCGUCUUCCACCUCGGCUUGUCCCAGAAAAUUGUCUGAGCAUCCAAGGGUUCAUCCUACUUAUUCUGAGUUAUGAAAAAUAAAGUGUGAAAGGCAGCGAUUGAUCAUCUGAGAGCCACGUUUGUCUGAACUUGUGUGUAACAAAAGGUUUGACUUGUUCUUUCUGUGCUGUUAAUGAUCUGGGAUUGACUUGUGGGAAUUCUAAGGUCCUUUUUUAACAUUUACACUGUCGGUCAAAGUUUUAGAACACCUCAGUGUUUCCUCAAAAGUUAAUCAUUUGAAAUGCAAUUAAUGACCUAAAAUGGUGAACACUUAAGCAGUACCAGAGGUUUAAAUUUAAAAUUUAGGUUAACAAAAAUAAAAA